rnacentral:lncRNA from 1 species
CACAAAUCUCAUUUGAUCUACAGGGCAACCUUGGAAUACAGCUUAUUAUUCUCCCCAUUCUGCAGUGACAGAAAUGGAGGUUUAAGUGCUUGCCAAUGACCAAUGGCAUGGGCAGGAUUGGAGCCUUGCUCCCCCCAGGACUCUCUAAAUCCAGUGCUAUUUCAGCUCUCCUGCUCCCAUCCAGUGCCAUUCUCUCAUUACUGUUAGAGUCUCGGUUUUCUUCCUGGUAAUGUUUAUGCUUUGUGCCUUCCUUGAUCCCAAAAGAAAUGAGAAGGAUGCUUACUCCAGCAGCUUCCUAAGUCAUGGGCACAGUCAUCCUUUAUUAAGGGCAGGGCUUGCCAAAGCAAACAAGGCAGGCAAGGACUUGACUAUAACAAGCAGGGGUCAUCCAGAGGAGUGGGAGGAGAAGAGCCAUCUCAUGUAAGGUGGCCUCUGAUAGGCAGUCUUUGGGCUGGAUGCUUUGGUGGGGCACCUUCCCUUCUGAAAUUCUUGAGAAAUGGCUUUAUUCACAUUAAAGUCACCGUCCAUUGCCCAUGGAGCCCCAAAGGAAGGAAAGUAAUCCUGAAGCAAACAGCAAAGACAGGAACAAUAUUUGGUGGGAUUUCUCUUUCUCUCCUAUCCUUAUUCCUUCCCAACUAUAGGCAGACUUCCUACUAUUCAUGGGGAGGGCUGGCUGACAGGUUGGCUGCCUUUGGGGGCACUCCUCCCAGGAUAUUCUGCUUUGGUAUGGAGUCCCACACACGGAGGAGAAAGGAAAAUUUUACUGUUCGCAGGGUGGUUGACAAGUGAAGUGAAGAAACACCAACGCAAAAUAGCAUUAGUGAGUUCCUGGAGCAGUUAUUUUAAAAGACCGUUGAGUUUGGGUACAUUGGAGAUAUCUGCAAUUUUAAAGAAGUCAGGCAUUUGAAGAGAAAGAAUAAGUGGUAUGUACCAUCUUUGGGGUGGGCCUUGCAAGCAGGGUGAGUUCUGGGAACAGGAAAAGUGGGCCAGAAUCUAGGAAAAGGGAAAACCUGAAGGGUUAUAGGAAGUGAGACAUGAGUUGGCAUCACUUUGCUUAGUGCUGGGAGAAAGAUCAUUUACAUGAUCUUAUAAGAUAACUGCUCUCUGCCUAAAUCCAUAGGGCUUUAUUUCCCUUGGGAGUUUUCUCCUUUUCUUCUCCCAUGGUACUUCCCAGAGGGUCCCAUAAGACUCAAUGCAGGCUUCCAAGUUGACUUUUGAUUCUAGAGAAUCACUGGCU